rnacentral:rRNA from 1 species
GCCUAACACAUGCAAGUCGAACGAGGUUGAUCCGGUGGCAACAUCGGUGACUACCUAGUGGCGAACGGGUGAGUAACACGUGAGGAACCUGCCCCGAAGACCGGGAUAAGCCUCCGAAAGGAGGUCUAAUACCGGAUGUCCCCACCAGACCGCAUGGCUUGGUGAGGAAAUGGAUUCCGCUUCGGGAGGGCCUCGCGGCCUAUCAGCUAGUUGGUGGGGUAACGGCCCACCAAGGCAUCGACGGGUAGCUGGUCUGAGAGGACGAUCAGCCACCCUGGGACUGAGACACGGCCCAGACUCCUACGGGAGGCAGCAGUGGGGAAUCUUGCGCAAUGGGCGAAAGCCUGACGCAGCAACGCCGCGUGGGGGAUGAAGGCUCUCGGGUUGUAAACCCCUUUCAGCAGGGACGAAUCAAGACGGUACCUGCAGAAGAAGCCCCGGCUAACUACGUGCCAGCACCCGCGGUAACACGUAGGGGCCAAGCGUUGUCCGGAUUUAUUGGGCGUAAAAAGCUCGUAGGCGGCUGAGUAAGUCGAAUGUUAAAUCCCCAGGCUCAACCUGGGUUCACCCACCCGAUACUGCUCUGGCUAAAGNUCCGGUAGGGGAGCGUGGAAUUCCUGGUGUAGCGGUGAAAUGCCCAGAUUAUCAAGGAGGAACACCCACCGGCGAAGGCGGCGCUNUGGGCCCGAACUGACGCUUGAGAAGCGAAAGCGUGGGUAGCAAACAGGAUUAGAUACCCUGGUAGUCCCACNCCGUAAACGUUGGGCACUAGGUGUGGGGUCUAUUCAACGGAUUCCGUGCCGUAGCUAACGCAUUAAGUGCCCCGCCUGGGGAGUACGGCCGCAAGGCUAAAACUCAAAGGAAUUCACGGGGGCCCGCACAAGCAGCGGAGCAUGUUGCUUAACUCGAGGCAACGCGAAGAACCUUACCUGGGUUUGACAUGUAGAGAAAAGCCGUAGAGAUACGGUGUCCUUCGGGGUUCUACACAGGUGGUGCAUGGUUGUCGUCAGCUCGUGUCGUGAGAUGUUGGGUUAAGUCCCGCGACGAGCGCAACCCUUGUCCUAUGUUGCCAGCACGUAAUGGUGGGGACUCGUAGGAGACUGCCGGGGUCAACUCGGAGGAAGGUGGGGACGACGUCAAAUCAUCAUGCCCCUUAUGUCCAGGGCUGCAAACAUGCUACAAUGGCCGGUACAGAGGGCUGCGAAACCGUGAGGUGGAGCGAAUCCCACAAAGCCGGUCUCAGUUCGGAUUGGAGUCUGCAACUCGACUCCAUGAAGCUGGAGUUGCUAGUAAUCCCGGAUCAGCAACGCCGGGGUGAAUACGUUCCCGGGACUUGUACACACCGCCC